GUUGUUUUGAUGCACUAAAUAUAUUUUGAUGAAUGUAUUAUCACCCUUGUCUGUUGUUGUGUGUGUGUCACAUUGUCGGUACUCGUGGGGGUACAUACAGGUUGAGGAGCUCUAGUUACGGGGUAUCUGGAAGGUGACGUUGGAAGAUUUUCUUCAGUCUUUAAUUAUUUUUGAGAACUAUGUAGACGAAUACGGGCUCUGAUUCUGUAACACUGGGGUUGGG
rnacentral:lncRNA from 1 species